UAUCUGGUAGUAUAUCGGUUAGUACACGCACCUAUCAUAAGGUUCUGAUGUCUUAGUACGCGCAAAAGCUGGGUUCGACUCCCAGCCAGAGAG